GCCCCUGCGAGAGGACGUUGCGUGCUCGCUCGCGCCAGGCGAGUCUCCGCGUCUUGCCUCGCGAACUCGGUGAAAGGAAUUGGCGCCGUUCGACACCAGGCGGGUCCGCUCUGCAGCACUCAGCCAUCUCCAGCCGCAGCCGCCGCCCGGGCCGACCAGCAGCCGCCGCCACAGGCCGAGGGAGCCAGCAGUCAGCGGUGAACCGGGGCCCUCACCAUGAGUUCAUCUCCGGUUAAUGUCAAGAAGCUGAAGGUGUCGGAGCUGAAGGAGGAGCUCAAGAAGCGGCGCCUCUCCGACAAGGGCCUCAAGGCCGAUCUCAUGGAUCGACUCCAGGCCGCGCUGGAUAACGAAGCCGGCGGUCGCCCCGCCAUGGAGCCCGGGAACGGCAGCCUCGACCUGGGUGGCGAUGCGGCCGGGCGCUCGGAAACAGGCCUCGAGCAGGAGGCCGCGACCGGCGCCGAAGACGACGAGGAGGAGGAGGGCAUCGCCGCUCUGGACGGCGACCAGAUGGAGCUGGGCGAGGAGAACGGGGCGGCGGGGGCGGCUGACGCGGGAGCGAUGGAGGAGGAGGAGGCGGCGUCCGAAGACGAGAACGGGGAUGACCAGGGCUUCCAGGAGGGGGAGGACGAGCUCGGCGACGAGGAGGAGGGCGCGGGCGACGAGAACGGCCACGGGGACCAGCAGUCCCAACCGCCGGCGGCGGCGCAGCAGACCCCCCAGCAGCGCGGGGCGGGCAAGGAGGCCGCGGGCAAGAGCAGCGGCCCCACCUCGCUCUUCGCGGUGACGGUGGCGCCUCCCGGGGCGAGGCAGGGCCAACAACAGGCGGGAGGAGACGGCAAAACAGAACAAAAAGGAGGAGAUAAAAAGAGAGGUGUUAAAAGACCUCGAGAAGAUCAUGGCCGAGGAUAUUUUGAGUACAUUGAAGAAAACAAGUACAGCAGAGCCAAGUCUCCUCAGCCACCUGUUGAAGAAGAAGACGAGCACUUCGAUGACACAGUGGUUUGUCUUGAUACUUAUAACUGUGAUCUGCAUUUUAAAAUAUCAAGAGACCGCCUCAGUGCUUCUUCCCUUACAAUGGAGAGUUUUGCUUUUCUUUGGGCUGGAGGAAGAGCAUCUUAUGGUGUGUCAAAGGGCAAAGUCUGUUUUGAGAUGAAGGUAACGGAGAAGAUCCCAGUCAGGCAUUUAUACACAAAAGAUAUUGACAUACAUGAAGUCCGCAUUGGCUGGUCCCUAACUACAAGUGGAAUGUUGCUUGGUGAAGAAGAAUUUUCUUACGGAUAUUCUCUGAAAGGAAUAAAAACAUGCAACUGCGAGACAGAAGAUUAUGGAGAGAAGUUUGAUGAAAAUGAUGUGAUUACAUGUUUUGCUAAUUUCGAAACUGAUGAAGUUGAACUCUCCUAUGCAAAGAAUGGACAAGAUCUUGGUGUUGCCUUCAAGAUCAGUAAGGAAGUUCUUGCUGACCGGCCACUGUUCCCACAUGUUCUCUGCCAUAACUGUGCAGUUGAAUUUAAUUUUGGUCAGAAGGAAAAGCCAUACUUUCCAAUACCUGAAGACUCUACUUUUAUCCAAAAUGUCCCCUUAGAGGACCGAGUUAGAGGACCAAAGGGACCCGAAGAGAAGAAGGAUUGUGAAGUUGUAAUGAUGAUUGGCCUGCCAGGAGCUGGAAAAACUACCUGGGUUACUAAGCAUGCAGCUGAGAACCCUGGGAAAUACAACAUUCUUGGAACAAAUACCAUUAUGGAUAAAAUGAUGGUGGCAGGUUUUAAGAAGCAAAUGGCAGAUACUGGGAAACUGAACACGCUGUUGCAGAGAGCCCCACAGUGUCUUGGAAAGUUUAUUGAGAUUGCUGCCCGCAAAAAGCGGAAUUUUAUUCUGGAUCAGACAAAUGUGUCUGCUGCUGCCCAGCGGAGGAAAAUGUGCCUGUUUGCAGGCUUCCAGCGGAAAGCUGUUGUCGUUUGCCCAAAAGAUGAAGACUAUAAGCAGAGGACACAGAAGAAAGCAGAAGUAGAGGGGAAAGACCUCCCAGAACAUGCUGUCCUUAAAAUGAAAGGAAACUUCACCCUGCCCGAGGUGGCUGAAUGCUUUGAUGAAAUAACCUAUGUUGAACUUCAGAAGGAGGAAGCCCAAAAGCUUUUGGAGCAAUAUAAAGAAGAAAGCAAAAAGGCGCUCCCACCAGAAAAGAAGCAAAACACUGGCUCAAAGAAGAGCAAUAAAAAUAAGAGUGGCAAGAACCAGUUCAACAGAGGUGGUGGCCAUAGAGGACGUGGAGGAUUCAAUAUGCGAGGUGGAAAUUUCAGAGGCGGAGCUCCUGGGAAUCGUGGCGGAUAUAAUAGGAGAGGCAAUAUGCCACAGAGAGGUGGUGGUGGUGGAAGUGGUGGAAUUGGCUAUCCAUACCCCCGUGGCCCUGUUUUUCCUGGCCGAGGUGGUUACUCAAACAGAGGGAAUUACAACAGAGGUGGAAUGCCCAACAGAGGGAACUAUAACCAGAACUUCAGAGGACGAGGAAACAAUCGUGGCUACAAAAACCAAUCUCAGGGCUAUAACCAGUGGCAGCAGGGUUCUGUCCAUGUGACUGUGCUGUGUUGAAGAGUAAAAGGGGCCCAACUAAAUGUGUUCCAGUGAUUCUAAUAGGUAUUCAAAUUAAUUGCUGCUUGUAUAUUAACCAGUUAUGCUAGGUUUUCAGGAUCACCUUACACAAAGCUAUUGCAAUUAAGGACGGGACAAUUUCUAAGCUUUCCUGAUUUUGCCUUUUUCAGAAGUGAAGUGUUUGGCAAUUGACAACUAUUUCUAGGUUUGCAGGAAUUUAUCUUUAAAAAGACUCCACCCAAGUUUUAAGACAUUUAAGACAUUUGGCCUAUUUAUUACCAAACAGACCUUUAGGUUAUUUUCUGACCUAGAUUACCAAUUUUUUUUCUUCUGCUCUGACACUAAUAACAGCCUUAGAAAAUUUGGGAAAUAGGUUGUGUGGGCUUUUUGAAGUAAUGAGGUGAUACAUUGAAGUCCAAGAUUAAAUGAGAAAUAAGCUGAAACCUAGAAGAUCCUAAAAGUUAAUGGGAAAGUGUGGUGUGAACUUUGCGCCAUCCCUGGGGCAUUUACUAUAAUAAACAAAACACAAUGUCACCUAGACGUUUCAGCUUUGUGGGUUUAUAUAGUGAAAAUGCUGUACCCUUAAAAGGGCAAUUUAACAACUUUCAGUGAGGAGGCAGGCAAGGGUUUUGACUACUGUUAGGGGGGAAAGGUGCAGAAAAACAUAAGUAGGCUUUAAGUUUGUCUGGCAAUGCAGACUUUCACAUCAUGGUAUAGAAGCAUUUAUUCAAACAUCUUUUUAUAGUGCAUGCAGAUUGGUCUUCCAGUGCUGUCCAUAAACAGGUGGUUAGGAGAUUCAAGUACUUGAGUUCCCUUGUUCUACACUAAAAGUGAACAUUAGAAAUAUUUGUCUAGCCAGGUGUUAGUCUUAACAUUUCUGUCAAUAUCUUCAUUUGAAACUGGGUGUAGUAAAUACAGUUAAAAUACUCUAAUUUCAGCCACAUGUGCUUAUCUAGUAGUUGGGCAGCCAUGACAGGAUUAUAUAACUUUUAAUCUAGUAGUGCUUACACUUAACUGUAAACUGUAACACAUUGAAAAGUUUCUCUAAUUUUUUUCUUGUUGCAUCAGCUUUGCUUUCUCAAAAAGUUGAAAAUAUUUAAAGUUGGACUUAAAUACAAAAAUACCAGUAUUUGGGUGGUAGUAAUGGAUACUGGCUAUUAUAUAAACCUGAUAAUUACUAGACCAUUAAGCUGCUUCAAAAUUGAUUCUAGAGGACCGUUAUAAGUCAGAAUUAUAGAAAUUGUUUAAUUUUCCUACUUAUUAAGGUCUGGUACCCAAAGAAUAGUGUAUAUUAACAUGACUUUUAAAGGGGUGCUUUGACACCUGUCACAGAUUUUUAUCUAGGAAUAGAAGGAUUCAAACCCUAUUUGAUCCUUAGCUCUUUGCUGAAAAGUGCAUAAACAGGAAUCCUGAAUUUAUUAUAUAGACCUCCGCAUUAUAUAAUCGAAGCAAAGGGAAACCAUCGAUGGAGUUAGAGGUACGUAGACUAAAAAGAUGCUUGCAAAUCAAAUACUGGUUUUAGCAUAGUUGAGAUUUAUUGUUGCCAAAUUCAGUCAACAAGUCACAAGUCCAGAAAAGGCUGUUCUAUUAAAUUUCCCUGAGGUCCUUUUACUGAGAUGGAGAAGCAAGGAAUUACAGAGGGAGGGGUUAAGGGAGGAGGGAAAGUAAUACAGCCUAGGAUGUUAGAUAAAACUACCAAAAGAAACUUCAACACUACUAACACUACAAUUCUAUUUUAAUCAGCUAUUUAGCUGGUACCUACUGCCUUAUCACCUAGUAUGAAAUUUGGGAUUAUCGGAACCAUGAAGGAAGCAAUGUGCACAAGAGGGCGUUGAAGUUGUGCUGCUGUGAGACUGAACUUUGUAAGUAAUGAAGAUACUGGAAAUGUUACUGGCCAAGAAAGGUUUCUCUUUCACGGUAAGAUAAUAACUGCAGUAUGAUAAAGCUAGAACUUAAAUCAACAACCCUAGGUUCAAUCUGAGAGCC